GGUGAGUUCACUGUUACUACUGUUCAUCAAAGGGAGGAAAAGGCGAUUUUACCCUUACUGUUCGUGGAGAAUAUCAAGCUGGUCUUCUAUAAACCGUGAAUAAAGAAAACGCCUUGAUUUGGUAGUGGAUUCGGGAACCUUCGCAAAAACAAAAAAAAGAAUCACCGACUGAAAGAGAGAGCGAGAGAGAGAGAGAGAGAGAGAGAGAGUUCGGUUCUGCUGUGUUUCUUCGUCUCGCUUAGAUUGAUAGUGAGGGAGGUUGUUGAUCGGCAUAGACAGGUCUCAAUUUUCGUUUGUUUCCAGCUUGGAGGCAUAAAAGAUUGUAUCGGAAUUGCAAAGCUCUGAUUUUUGGUGUGGGUGGAGGCUUUUAAUUAGAAUUGGAGCAGAAUUGGAGUCAGGGGAAGAGUAACAUUUGGGUCUAGGCUUUGAUCAGGUAGCAACUAUACUUAUCUAAUUGGGUGUGAUUUUUUUUUUCCUUCUCUUCUUGCAGAACUGGACAAUAACUUUAUAGGAUUGUGGUGCUCUUUUGUAACAAUAUCUCUCUAUUUGAAGCUAUGAUGAAAUUCAGCUUUGUUUUUUAUUCUCUGCCACUGUGUUUCAGUUAUAUUGAGCUAUUGGAUUUUGUGUUUUAUCGUUGUUGUGAUUGUCGGAGGUUUGGUUAGAAGCUGAGUUUUUUUCGUGCAGUCUGAGUUACUGUUGUGAUUUUGCCCUAUAUUUGUUGUGAUCCAUUCGAGUUACUCUUCUAAAUUAAUUUCAUGAUUUUCAUCAUCUAUAUUUGUUGUGAUCCAUUCGAGUUACUGUUCAUUCAUGGGGAAAAAGACGAUUUUGCCUCAUUUGACAUUUUUUUACGGCUCUGCCACUGCCUCUUUUUUCUUCUCUCUUCCUCCCUUCUGCCUCCCAGACCGAGUUUUUUCCUCUCUCUUCCCCCCUCUGCCUCCUAAACCGAACAGCAGCAGCUGCGUGAGGUAAUGAAUUCCUUGCUACGUUUUGGUUGUUUUUGCUUCUCCACUUCGUUGUUUGGUUAGCUUGGUUUAAUAUAGCUUGAGAAAUUUGAUUUGGGUUUGUGAAAGAAUAAAGAUUGAUUCUUUUCUUAUGUAAAUUGAGGGAAUUGAUGGGAAUUUGAAGAAAUGGAUUUUAAAGUUUGCUAGAGCACAGAGCAGAUCUCAGCCAUCACUAUUCACUAAUUAGGUAGCUGUGAAGGGAUUUGCAUAAGAACUUUCAAGCAGGAUUGAGCUCCCAUCUCCUUUAAUCCGGGUUGGAAAGUGAUUGGAACAGCAAGUAGUGCUUAAAAGAAGAGACUUGCAGAAAAUUCAGUUUGUCUUCAAGUUAGAUUUUAUGCGCAAGGGUAUCUGAUUGAUUGCAGAUAGAGGUUUUACUCUUCUUCUUUUUUUGUGUUGGAAGAUUCAGUUUGUCUUCAAGUUAGAUUUUAUGCACAAGGGUGUGCACGUGAUUCUCCUGCCGCUGUUCCUUUGCGUAUUGUUUGGGAUUAUUUCAGUAUUGUAUUCUUCUUUAGAUAGAGGUUUUUCUCUUCUUCUUUUCUGUGUUGGAAGUGUAGUGCCUGCCUGCCUUUGUCUUUCUCCGUCUGGAAGGUGAGUUGUUUAUUUGAGAGGUUUGGAUGAAAAUUCCUCAUAACAGUCUUAAUGUACUUAGAUUGCAGUGUUUAUUAUGAUUUGAAGUGAAUCUAAAAUUCCUCUUCGUGUUUUGGGUCCCUCCUUUGCUUUUACACUUUAAAGCCCUUGCUGCCUAAAUUCAACAACACAUAAAUAGUCUGCUUAUGUCUAUAGAUGGUCUCAAUACUCAAAGUAAAGGAAGAUACUGUUUGUUUUGGUAAAAGUCAAAUUUGGUAUUCAAAUCGAUGGUAUAUUUAUCAUGUUUAUUAUGAUCAUCAUUGUUGUACAUGUUUAUAAAAUGAUAAAUCCUUGGUUUAACAGACAACUUUGUUUGAUGCCACUGAUAUAGACGUAAUCCAGGAUUCACUUGGUUGGAAAUGAAAUUUGUUAAUAUGAUUGUGGAAAUAAAGUUUGAUUGAAAUCGGUAAGGUUCUAAAGUUUGAUUGAAAUCAGUAAGGUUCGAAAGUUUGAAGCUGUAGUAGAAAGGAAAAGAAGAGGGAUUGAAAUCGGUAAGGUUCUAAAGUUUGAAGCUUUCAUUUGGUUAGAUUUUGGGGGUUGCGUUUUUGUUGUUUUUUGCUGGAAUUGGGUUUUGGGUUUGAUUUGUUGUUUGGUUGUCUUUCGCAGUUCUAAAUAUUGUUCACUUAAAUAUCUAGGAAAGAAGAAUAAGGAUUGAAAUCGACGAACAGAUGAAUUAGCUAGAUUUUGACCGGAAACCGGAAACCUCACUACCAUGUUGACAGUAGAUUGCACGUUGGAUUCCACACAAAUUUGAUAUCCGGAACCAGUUUCUAUAUAAACGGUGCUUUAAGAUGAACACCUACCGUCUCUAAUCCAUCUUCUGUCUAAUAUACAAUAUUCAUAAGCAUCCCUAGGCUAAUUAAAAGCUCUAUACAUGUAUGAAUGCAUCUUCAGUUUAAUUAAAAUUAAAAGUCCCCGUGAUUCUUCCUUAAUGAUCAGCUAAUUUCGUACCAUUAAACUGUUAAUUAUUGUGCUUCAACGUCUAACUAAUGUAAAAAUAGAGGCAUGGUGUUCAAUUGCAGCAAAGUAGUAUACUCCCCUCAUUUGCCAGUAACUAAUGUUCUGUUGUGUUUUAUCAUUGCACUGUUUCUAAUUACCAAUCGCACAAAUGUCCAAGGAUGUGGUGCUUUUCCGACUAUAAACUCUGAUCUUUUUCUUUUUUCAAUCAAAUUACUUUUCCUUGAUACAGAAGCUUCUGCAGAACUGUGGUUAAUUGAACUUUAGUUGUUUAUCUGCAUUUGCUUUUCAAUCCACAUAUAAUCGCGUCAUUCCAUUCAUGUUCCCCUUACCUUCUUCUCUAAACUAUUUUACUUCUAUGAAUAAGAAACGUUAACCUCAAAUAUAAUAAUGCUAUUCUUACUAAUUCUUCAAAUAUU